AUGGGGUAAUGAGGACAUCUCCUCAUUAGAUCUUUGAAUCGGUUCCAGGCUGCACACAUAGUUUCACCCUCAGCUUGAGUGAAAUUGGUGAUAUCAUUCACCAUCUG